rnacentral:ribozyme from 1 species
AACGAGAGGAGGAGGUACCAACGAAGAACAAGUACGCGGGAAAGAGGCUCCAUGUUUUUUCUUCGUCUUUCUUUCUUUUUUUUUUUUUUUUUUUUUUUUUUUUUU